GAUGAGUAGGGCGGGACACGUGGUAUCCUGUCUGAAUAUGGGGGGACCAUCCUCCAAGGCUAAAUACUCCUGACUGACCGAUAGUGAACCAGUACCGUGAGGGAAAGGCGAAAAGAACCCCGGCGAGGGGAGUGAAAAAGAACCUGAAACCGUGUACGUACAAGCAGUGGGAGCACGCUUAGGCGUGUGACUGCGUACCUUUUGUAUAAUGGGUCAGCGACUUAUAUUCUGUAGCAAGGUUAACCGAAUAGGGGAGCCGAAGGGAAACCGAGUCUUAACUGGGCGUUAAGUUGCAGGGUAUAGACCCGAAACCCGGUGAUCUAGCCAUGGGCAGGUUGAAGGUUGGGUAACACUAACUGGAGGACCGAACCGACUAAUGUUGAAAAAUUAGCGGAUGACUUGUGGCUGGGGGUGAAAGGCCAAUCAAACCGGGAGAUAGCUGGUUCUCCCCGAAAGCUAUUUAGGUAGCGCCUCGUGAAUUCAUCUCCGGGGGUAGAGCACUGUUUCGGCAAGGGGGUCAUCCCGACUUACCAACCCGAUGCAAACUGCGAAUACCGGAGAAUGUUAUCACGGGAGACACACGGCGGGUGCUAACGUCCGUCGUGAAGAGGGAAACAACCCAGACCGCCAGCUAAGGUCCCAAAGUCAUGGUUAAGUGGGAAACGAUGUGGGAAGGCCCAGACAGCCAGGAUGUUGGCUUAGAAGCAGCCAUCAUUUAAAGAAAGCGUAAUAGCUCACUGGUCGAGUCGGCCUGCGCGGAAGAUGUAACGGGGCUAAACCAUGCACCGAAGCUGCGGCAGCGACGCUUAUGCGUUGUUGGGUAGGGGAGCGUUCUGUAAGCCUGCGAAGGUGUGCUGUGAGGCAUGCUGGAGGUAUCAGAAGUGCGAAUGCUGACAUAAGUAACGAUAAAGCGGGUGAAAAGCCCGCUCGCCGGAAGACCAAGGGUUCCUGUCCAACGUUAAUCGGGGCAGGGUGAGUCGACCCCUAAGGCGAGGCCGAAAGGCGUAGUCGAUGGGAAACAGGUUAAUAUUCCUGUACUUGGUGUUACUGCGAAGGGGGGACGGAGAAGGCUAUGUUGGCCGGGCGACGGUUGUCCCGGUUUAAGCGUGUAGGCUGGUUUUCCAGGCAAAUCCGGAAAAUCAAGGCUGAGGCGUGAUGACGAGGCACUACGGUGCUGAAGCAACAAAUGCCCUGCUUCCAGGAAAAGCCUCUAAGCAUCAGGUAACAUCAAAUCGUACCCCAAACCGACACAGGUGGUCAGGUAGAGAAUACCAAGGCGCUUGAGAGAACUCGGGUGAAGGAACUAGGCAAAAUGGUGCCGUAACUUCGGGAGAAGGCACGCUGAUAUGUAGGUGAAGUCCCUUGCGGAUGGAGCUGAAAUCAGUCGAAGAUACCAGCUGGCUGCAACUGUUUAUUAAAAACACAGCACUGUGCAAACACGAAAGUGGACGUAUACGGUGUGACGCCUGCCCGGUGCCGGAAGGUUAAUUGAUGGGGUCAGCGCAAGCGAAGCUCUUGAUCGAAGCCCCGGUAAACGGCGGCCGUAACUAUAACGGUCCUAAGGUAGCGAAAUUCCUUGUCGGGUAAGUUCCGACCUGCACGAAUGGCGUAAUGAUGGCCAGGCUGUCUCCACCCGAGACUCAGUGAAAUUGAACUCGCUGUGAAGAUGCAGUGUACCCGCGGCAAGACGGAAAGACCCCGUGAACCUUUACUAUAGCUUGACACUGAACAUUGAGCCUUGAUGUGUAGGAUAGGUGGGAGGCUUUGAAGUGUGGACGCCAGUCUGCAUGGAGCCGGCCUUGAAAUACCACCCUUUAAUGUUUGAUGUUCUAACGUGGACCCGUGAUCCGGGUUGCGGACAGUGUCUGGUGGGUAGUUUGACUGGGGCGGUCUCCUCCUAAAGAGUAACGGAGGAGCACGAAGGUUGGCUAAUCCUGGUCGGACAUCAGGAGGUUAGUGCAAUGGCAUAAGCCAGCUUGACUGCGAGCGUGACGGCGCGAGCAGGUGCGAAAGCAGGUCAUAGUGAUCCGGUGGUUCUGAAUGGAAGGGCCAUCGCUCAACGGAUAAAAGGUACUCCGGGGAUAACAGGCUGAUACCGCCCAAGAGUUCAUAUCGACGGCGGUGUUUGGCACCUCGAUGUCGGCUCAUCACAUCCUGGGGCUGAAGUAGGUCCCAAGGGUAUGGCUGUUCGCCAUUUAAAGUGGUACGCGAGCUGGGUUUAGAACGUCGUGAGACAGUUCGGUCCCUAUCUGCCGUGGGCGCUGGAGAACUGAGGGGGGCUGCUCCUAGUACGAGAGGACCGGAGUGGACGCAUCACUGGUGUUCGGGUUGUCAUGCCAAUGGCACUGCCCGGUAGCUAAAUGCGGAAGAGAUAAGUGCUGAAAGCAUCUAAGCACGAAACUUGCCCCGAGAUGAGUUCUCCCUGACCCUUUAAGGGUCCUGAAGGAACGUUGAAGACGACGACGUUGAUAGGCCGGGUGUGUAAGCGCAGCGAUGCGUUGAGCUAACCGGUACUAAUGAACCGUGAGGCUUAACCUU
rnacentral:rRNA from 1 species